AUUGAACGCUGGCGGCAGGCCUAACACAUGCAAGUCGAACGAGUGGCGGACGGGUGAGUAAUGUCUGGGAAACUGCCUGAUGGAGGGGGAUAACUACUGGAAACGGUAGCUAAUACCGCAUACCAUCGGAUGUGCCCAGAUGGGAUUAGCUAGUAGGUGGGGUAAAGGCUCACCUAGGCGACGAUCCCUAGCUGGUCUGAGAGGAUGACCGGCCACACUGGAACUGAGACACGGUCCAGACUCCUACGGGAGGCAGCAGUGGGGAAUAUUGCACAAUGGGCGCAAGCCUGAUGCAGCCAUGCCGCGUGUAUGAAGAAGGUCUUCGGGUUGUAAAGUACUUGCAGCGGGGAGGCGUUACCCAAAGAAGAAGCACCGGCUAACUCCGUGCCAGCAGCCGCGGUAAUUC
rnacentral:rRNA from 1 species